GUGUCAGCCGCCGCGGUAAGACGGAGGAUGCAAGCGUUAUCCGGAAUGAUUGGGCGUAAAGCGUCCGCAGGUGGCAAUUCAAGUCUGCUGUUAAAGCGCAGGGCUUAACUCUGUAAAGGCAGUGGAAACUGAAUAGCUAGAGUGUGGUAGGGGCAGAGGGAAUUCCCAGUGUAGCGGUGAAAUGCGUAGAGAUUGGGAAGAACAUCGGUGGCGAAGGCGCUCUGCUGGACCAUAACUGACACUCACAGGACGAAAGCUAGGGGAGCGAAUGGGAUUAGAUACCCCAGUAGUCCUAGCCGUAAACGAUGGAUAUUAGGUGUUGGCUGUAUCGACCCGGACAGUGCCGUAGCUAACGCGUUAAGUAUCCCGCCUGGGGAGUACGCACGCAAGUGUGAAACUCAAAUGAAUUGACGGGG
rnacentral:rRNA from 1 species